rnacentral:rRNA from 1 species
GCCUGAGAAACGGCUACCACAUCUAAGGAAGGCAGCAGGCGCGUAAAUUACCCAAUCGCGACUCGCGGAGGUAGUGACAAGAAAUAACGGACCGAAGCCUAUGUUUCGGGAUUGCAAUGAGUAGAAUUUAAACCCCUUUACGAGGAUCAAUUGGAGGGCAAGUCUGGUGCCAGCAGCCGCGGUAAUUCCAGCUCCAAUAGCGUAUAUUAAAGUUGUUGCAGUUAAAAAGCUCGUAGUUGGACUUCUGGGAGGGUGCCAAUGUCCGCUCGUUAGCGUGUGCAGCGGCGCCCUUCCAUCCUUCUGUUAACGUUUCUUGGUAUUCAGUUACUGGUUUCGGGCUCAGAUAUUUUACCUUGAGAAAAUUAGAGUGUUUCAGGCAGGCUUGCGCCGGAAUACAUUAGCAUGGAAUAAUAGAAUAGGACUUUAGUCUCCUUUGUUGGUUUGAGGGACUGAAGUAAUGAUUAAUAGGGAUAGUUGGGGGCAUUAGUAUUUAAUUGUCAGAGGUGAAAUUCUCGGAUUUGUUAAAGACUAACUUAUGCGAAAGCAUUUGCCAAGGAUGUUUUCA